rnacentral:rRNA from 1 species
AUUGAACGCUGGCGGCAGGCCUAACACAUGCAAGUCGAGCGGAUGAAGGGAGCUUGCUCCUGGAUUCAGCGGCGGACGGGUGAGUAAUGCCUAGGAAUCUGCCUGGUAGUGGGGGAUAACGUCCGGAAACGGGCGCUAAUACCGCAUACGUCCUGAGGGAGAAAGUGGGGGAUCUUCGGACCUCACGCUAUCAGAUGAGCCUAGGUCGGAUUAGCUAGUUGGUGGGGUAAAGGCCUACCAAGGCGACGAUCCGUAACUGGUCUGAGAGGAUGAUCAGUCACACUGGAGCUGAGACACGGUCCAGACUCCUACGGGAGGCAGCAGUGGGGAAUAUUGGACAAUGGGCGAAAGCCUGAUCCAGCCAUGCCGCGUGUGUGAAGAAGGUCUUCGGAUUGUAAAGCACUUUAAGUUGGGAGGAAGGGAAGUAAGUUAAUACCUGGCUGUUUUGACGUUACCAACAGAAUAAGCACCGGCUAACUUCGUG